GGGCGUCUCAAACACUUGUUGCUCAAGUGACGUGGCGAUCUCCUCUUGCGUGUCUUUUCCACUACUUCGAAUAUAUAGCAAAAAGAAUUACACCCUAAGUCAUAGCCAUUCGUUUCUAUAAACUUUAUUAAUAUAGCACGCCGUUAUAGCUAUAUGGUGCACAGGAUAUAAUUUCUCGAAUGAUAUUUUAAUUUAUCAAAAAAAAGGUGACAUUUUAUGUGGGCGUCAUCAUACCUCCCUUCAAUGAUGGCCCAGGGCGAGCGAUAUAUAUAUACUACAAGGAGAUCAUGGAACGGUCCAUAGUGCAAGGAGAGGGAGAGAGAGAGAGAGAGAGAGUACGGAGUG
rnacentral:lncRNA from 1 species